GGAUGGUUGACUCCAGAUGGAAAGUGUUUAGAGAAUUCUGACGUGACAUCAUGCUGUCAGGACAUCGUGCUGACGGCAGAGGAAAGCCCAAAUGUGAUGUUAAACACACAGAGGAGACCCCACAUGGGUUACUCACACAGACGCUGCCAAAGGUCCUGCUGUUUCACACUGUGCAGAGUGAAUAAACUAUGGCAUAAAACUAUGGCAACCCCCUUGAGUGGCUCAGCAGUACAGAAUCUGUGUGCAAUGCAGGAGAUCCAGGUUUGAUCCUUGGGUCAGGAAGAUCCCCUGGAAGAGGGCAUGGCAACCCAUUCCAGUAUUCUUGCCUAGAGAAUCCCCAUGGACAGAGGAGCCUUGUGGCUGCAGUCUGUAGGAUCGCCAAGAGUCUGAAAAGAAUUCAGAGACUGAGAACAUAUGCAAGCAUCUUUUCUCACUGAAAGGAAUCCAGUCUUCUUGGAGAAUUGGCUGUUUCCAGGUACAGAGCAACAAUUAUACAAGAUAAAUGCAGAGCAUCUUUUAUCAGAAGUUAAGAAAGCUGUCAAACCUCACUGGGCUCAUGUCAAAAGGGCUCAGAUGCCAACCUGAAGGAGCAUCAGAUACAAAACCAACCAAAUAAAAACCUUGCAAUGAAUUGAAACACAUCAAAUAUUUUUUAAAUCCAUAAAUUCAAAAUGAUA